rnacentral:rRNA from 1 species
AACGAACGCUGGCGGCAGGCCUAACACAUGCAAGUCGAACGCUCCGCAAGGGGAGUGGCGCACGGGUGAGUAACACGUGGGAACCUACCUUCUGGUACGGAACAACCAAGGGAAACUUUGGCUAAGACCGUAUACGACCUCCGGGUGGAAAGAUUGAUCGCCGGAAGAGGGGCCCGCGUCCGAUUAGGUAGUUGGUGAGGUAACGGCUCACCAAGCCUUCGAUCGGUAGCUGGUCUGAGAGGAUGACCAGCCACACUGGGGACUGAGACACGGCCCAGACUCCUACGGGAGGCAGCAGUGGGGAAUAUUGGACAAUGGGCGCAAGCCUGAUCCAGCCAUGCCGCGUGAGUGAUGAAGGCCUUCGGUUGUUAA